rnacentral:rRNA from 1 species
UACGUAGGGGGCUAGCGUUGUCCGGAAUCAUUGGGCGUAAAGCGCGCGUAGGCGGCCAGAUAAGUCCGGUGUGAAAGUCACAGGCUCAACCUGUGAAUGCCGCUGGAAACUGUCUGGCUAGAGUCCGGAAGGGGCGAGUGGAAUUCCUGGUGUAGCGGUGAAAUGCGCAGAUAUCAGGAGGAACACCGGUGGCGAAGGCGGUUCUCUGGGCCUUACCUGACGCUGAGGAGCGAAAGCGUGGGGAGCAAACAGG